AAAGUUAGAGAAGAGAAAGGAGAGGAGAAAGCUCUUGAAUGUUCGGUCACUUGGGGAAGAAAAUUGAAGGUAAGUUCAUGGUAGUUUGCUUCUAUCCUGAUGUUCAUGAGUUCUUCUUGAUUCUACCUUAACUCUUGAAGCAUAUUUUGGUUUUUAGUUGUGUUGUGAGCAUUUAGUCAUGAAUUAAAAUGAAGGAAAUGGUUGUUGUUUCAUGUUCUUUUGAUGAAAAAUGGAAGAUAGGUGAAGUUGAGCCAAACAAAUGAGCAUGCAUGUGCCUUAGAUGCUAAGGGGAAAAAUCGGCUAACAUGUUAUGCUUUAAAAUGAUGAAAUAGAGAUUAUACUUAAGUAAAAUCAUAGAUAUGUGAUGAUUGAUUGGUGAUAUACAUGUUUAAAUAACAUGCAUGCAAGGUAUGUGUGAAAGAGUGAUUUGGAAAUAAAUCUGCUUGGGACAACAGCAGUAAUGUGAAUUUGGAAAAUCACCAUAAAUUGUGGGAGAUGAAUUAGAAGCUGAAUAAAUUAUGUAAUUAAAGCUUAUUGAGUCUAGUUUCAAAUGAAAUAAACAAGAACAUAUUUUGAAUUCUGUAAAAUGAGAAAUUUUAUUCCUAAUGAAGAGUGGUCAGAUUAGUCAAAUAGUGAAACAUGGGAAACUUUGAGAAAAAUCUGGUAUUGAUUGGCUAAAUAAAAAAUUUUGAAAAUUUUAUGGAUAGAAGAUAUAUGAGUCUAUUUUCAGGGAAAAUUAACGGCACUUGAUUUGGAGUUUCGUAGCUCCAGUUAUAAAUGAUUUAGUGACUGUUGCUCAGGAAGACAGCUUGCAGUGAAAUUAUGAUUAUAUGGUAAACACUGACAAAAAUUUGAUAAUGAGUUGCUUAUUGAUUUCUUAUAAGCUUACUCUGAUCUGUAGGUGUGGUUGGCCGAAUAUUGUAAGGGGUUAAUAUGUAGUUCGUAUUUGAAUAGUUAGAUUAACGUGUUAGUAAUUCAAUUGUAGGCGGUUUGUGUGUGGAUCUCGUCAGCAUAUCGUCACAAACAGGUGUGUAACUGACACCCUCUCAUAGACUAGAUUGGCAAAAGCCGAAAAGCUAAAAUGCCGAAAAGUCGGUAUUUUGGGAAUUUGCGAGUGUGUGAAUGCUCGUAAGAUAGUUGGGUUUGUAUAUUUGGUAAUCUAAAGUAAUAAACUGUAGUACGCGCGAUUUCGUACAUUUUGAUAAUUUGGGCUUAAUGGGCCAAAGAUCGGGUUCAUGGGCCAACGGGCCCAAUUCGAUAAGUAUGCGCGGUAAGUGUUCUGAUAGUAUGUAAAUAGUUAGGAUAUGCAUGAAAACCCUAAAAGCAGCUAAAUUACCAUAAUACCCCUAUGUAUGGAAAAUUACUAUUAUACCCCUAGGUGCAAAAUUACCGUUAUACCCCUAGGGUUAAUUUUGACUGAAAAGCAUGACGAUCUGAUUCUGUAUGAUGUAUGCCAUGAUUAUACAUCUGUUGCAUGGGGACAUGGGUUAUAUUAGGAGGAAGCGUCCUGGUGGCUAUGCCACAAUUAUCUGAUCUGGUGGCUCUGCCACAUAUAUCUGUUCUGGUGGCUAUGCCACGAUUAUCUGAUCUGGUGGCUCUGCCACAUAUAUCUGUUCUGGUGGCUCUGCCACAAUAUCUGUAUCUGGUGACUUCGUCACAAUAUCUGGCAGCCUCGCUGCGAUUUCUGUGGUGUGUAGCGGUUGGGUGGGUCGAGUAGUCUCCCCACAUGGUGAAAGGCUGGUACGGGGGUGUUAUGGAUGAAUCUGGGUUGGGUUUCUGCAUAAACAUGUAAUAUCUGUUCUGUUCUGUUAUGGGCCUAUGGGCUUUAUUCUGAAUUCUGUUCUGGGCUAAGGCCAACUUAUUCUAUUUCUGUGGUUUGAGCUGAUAUAGGCUAUGGUUGGGUUAUUUUACACACUGAGUUUCCCCAAACUCACCCCUUUUAUUUUCAUCCACGCAGGUAAUCCCCAACCAUAGUGGGCUUCGAGCAGUGAGGGAAUUCGGAGAGGCCACCCGUUCUGAAAGUUUGAUUUUCUUCUGGUGAACUGGACAUCCUUUUAAUUACGUUUGAGGUUUUGGGCUUUUAAAUGUAAUAAGGCCGCUUAUUUAUUUUUGAUGGUUUUUAUAUGUUUUAUUAAGAUAGGUAAUAUUUAUAUUUAACUGUUGAAAUUGGAUAGCUUUAAGGCGCAUUUUCAAAAAUAGUAAUUGAUUUCAAAAUAACACGAAAACAAGCAAAGCUUCCGCAAUGAAGAUAUUUUCCAAAAUUAAUCACAUUUCCUAAAAAGGACUUAAUCAAUCGGUUUCCUAGAAAUAUACAUGACGUUAAGGUAUGGCAAUGGCGGUUUGCAUGUCUAGGAUUGGAUCCGAAGGGAGUUUGGUACUUAAGCAGUCCGAUGGACUCACCUCCUCUUUUCUGGUUUCCUACCUGGUGCACAGCUUCCAUCCACUUUAACCUAUAAUGAAAUCAUCUUUUAAAACACUAAGUAAGUUUUUCUGGAUCAAUAAUAUAAAAUGUUUUGAAUGCUUCGAAGUGGCAUGUCGGAUCCGACCAUAACGUCUGGGCCGGGUUUGGGGUGUUACAAUUUCCAUGCUUUGUCAAUAAUAACAAACUUAAAAACAUAUUGACAUCUUGAUGUACUUACCUUGUUCUAUUGAUACUAAUCUUUAACUUGAUUUUCUCUCUCCUCCAGCUUCUAUUUCUUGAAUCCAACUUGAUAUUCUAACUCCCCAUGGUCUCCUUAACAUUUUUCUCUCUUAGUAGCUAUGGAAAUUCUUUUGAUUUCUAGGUGAAAAUGGUGAAUUUUUGGUGGAAAGACCAAAUUGUAAAGAAAAGAAAAUUUCUUUCUUUUCCUUCUCUUCUAACGUUGGUUGCAUGCAUGGAAAGAUGAUGAAAAUUCUUCAUCUUUCCUUCCUUUUAUACUAAAUAAUUAAUAAUAAAAUAAUAAUGAAAUAAUAAUAAAAUAAUAAAAUAUUUCAUUAAAAUAAUAUAUAUCUAAUUAAAUAAUCAUAAAAUAUCAUCAACAUCAUCAUUACUUUCUAGAUUUCUCUCCUUCCAAUUGACCAUUUUGCCCUUUAUUAUCUUUUAAAAUUCCAUCAUUGAGUCAUCAUUUAAUUUGGUAAAAUUAUAAUUUAGUCCCUCAUAAUUCUUCACCUAUUCAAUUUGGUCCUAAUUCAUCCAUUUUCCUUAGUUUCUAGAUCAUUCCACUCUUAAAAUAUUUACACUAUUGGUCCUUCAAAUUUUUCAUAUUUACACGUUAACCCCUCAAAUUUUAAGUAUUUACUCUUCUGCAACAAAACUUUUCUCACUUUUGCAAUUUAGUCCUUUCUUGAAUUAACAUAUCAUAAUAUACUUCUCAAUAUUGACAUAACUCAAAAUUUCCCUUUUUGUCACUUUAUUUCCUUAUUUUACUAUAUCAAGGAUAACAUCUUACUGUAAAAAUUUUCAGAGUAUUACACACACGGCCAGGGCACACUGCCGUCUGGCCUUAUGUCGCCAAUUUUUGUACUAUGUCUAUUUUUGACUUUUUUGUGAUCCUGUAUGUUCCGACCCACAGUUAGGCCUUAGCAAGAGUGGUUGGGACUCUGUUUUGGCUUGGACAUAUCUGUUAUGUGCAAGCAUUGCAUUAGUUAAGUGACUCGUUAAUGUGAUAUUUCCUAAUAAAUGAGUAUCUACUUUAGUGGUUAAGUAAUGUGGGUGUGUGUGACUGUCUGGAAACUGUGCACAUCGAUUCUGUAAUUGAUUGACUAAUUACAAGCUUCUGCGUCUAUGUAAUUGUCAAUGUUUGGUGUGCAUUCUUGCAUUUACAUUAUGAUUUCGGGUUUGGGAUGUAAUGACCCAAUAGUCACGAGUACCAAAAAGUGUAUUUUCGAGUCUUCAUUUUUGUAAAACGGAUUCAUAAACAUUUAUUAAAAAUAUUUACGAAGUCAGUUGAGUAGUUAAUUAGGUUUUGAUUAGGUGAAUUUGCUUGAAUUAAGAGUAAUUAGGUAAAAGGACUAAAUUGCAUAUAGAGUGAAAGUUGAAUUAUAAAUUAAAGAAAAGUAAAGGGACUAAAGAAGUAAAUAAUCCUUAUCCUAACAAGUGUAUGGUAAUAAUAAAUAACAAGUGUAAAAAUAAUAUACAUAAGUAUAAAAUAAUAAUAUAUGUAUUACUUAAUAUUUAAGUAUAUACAUUAUAUUAUAUUAUAUUAUUAUAAUAAUACUAAGUAAAUGAAAUAAUAAAUAAACAAAACAAAUAAAAGAAAAAGAAUAGAAAAAGAAACAAAGUUAAAAUGAAACAGAGAAGAAAAAGAAAGGAAAAGAAAAAGAAAGGAAAAGAAAAAGAGAAAGAAAAGGAGAAAAGUUAGGGAUUUCAAAGUUUAAAGCUUAAUUGGUAAGUCAAUUUAGUCCCUUUUCUAGUAAUUUUUAUGUUUUUAGAAUCCCAAUAUUAAAUACUACCCAGCCCAUGUCAAAAUUUUAGACAUUAUUAAGUUUUUAAAUGUUGUCUAUGUUGAAUAAUAAGAGUAUUAGGGACUAAAUUGAUAGAUUUUUAAGCUAGAAAUACAAAAGGAUUGAAUUGUAGGAUAAAUUACAAAUUUUGAGUAUUAGGGACGAAAUUGUGAAAAUUUUGAAAUUUAGGGAUUUAAUUGAAAUUAGAGAGUUAAAUCUAGUUUAAAUUGGAAAUUGAAUGAAAAUAUAGAAUUAAUUGUCAAGAAAUAAAGUUAGUUUCGGUUUAGGGACUAAAUUAGAAUUUAGGCAAAUGUUGAAUAAAAAAUUAAAAUAUUCAAUGUGAAAUUGAAUUUUAUUGUAUUGUUUUAAUUCCGUAACUAACGUUGUACCAAAAACUUCAACUAAGAAGGGAAAAGAUAGAGUCGACGAGGAAUAACUUGAAAGUUUCUACUCGACGAGGAAUAACUUGAAAGUUUCUAGUUUAUAUUUCUAUAAUUCGAAUCUAGUUAUUAAUUGUCGUAUUUUGAUUUAAUAUUUAUGGGAAGUGAUUGAGGUGAGUAUUUGGCACUGUGACAUUAAAUUGAAUUAAAAGUUGAUUGAAUGAAUUGGAUUAAUUAUUUGAAUUGAAAUGAAUAUAUAUGUGAAAAUAUGAUAAUUGAAUAUUGGUUGUAUUUGGAAAGUGAACUUAAACCCUAUUAAUUGUAUUGGGCUGAGUCGGAUAUAGAAGGCAUGCCAUAGGAUUGGAAAAGUUCAGGCAUUCUUCAACCUAGAGUCGAUGAGACACUCGGUGUCAAUUUAUUACUUCGGAUUAAUUCGAUGAGGCACUGGGUGCCAAUUUACUUCGGUUUAGCCGAUGAGACAAUGGUGUCAACUUAUUACUUUGAAUUAUUCGAUAAGGCCCUGGGUGCCAAACUAGUGUGUUUUGGUUGGAUCCGUGUAUCCGUCCGAGUCCGAGUCGUGUUAAUAGGGGUAAUUAAAUGGAAUGAUACUAUGAUUGGUAUUGAGAAAUAUUGAAUGUGAAAUGAAAAUGAGAUACAUGGAUUGUGCAUCAUAUUGUGAAAUGCUAUUAACAUAGCAAAUGAUGAGAAUUGAAUAUGUUAUUAAUGAUUCAAUUAUGAAUUGAUUAAUUGAAGGACUAUUGUUAUUGUAUGAUUAAAUGAGUAUGUUAUGUUAAUUUUUUCAGAUUAUAGAAAUACCACUAAGUUUAUACUCAGCAUAUAGUUUUGUUUUCUGUGUGCAGGUUAAGGACUUGAUUUUGAUUACCGAUUCAGCAUCCAAACAAUGAUCCCGAUCUCAAACGUGGUUAUGUUUAUCUUUUUGUGUCAGCAUGUACCUAGGAUGUUUAAAUAUUAAUCAUUUUGUGGAUUGAUUGUACAUAAGGUUAUAAGGUAAUAUUAGUUAGUUAUAAAUAUAUAUGAGUAUGUGUUUAUGUUUGAGGUUAUACUAUGGAAUGUUUAAGUUAAUGUUUAAAUGAACAUGUUAUAAGCAAAUUAGAUUGAAUUCAUAUGAUGUCUUAUUGAUGUGUUUCGAUAAUAUAAUUGUGGUACUUGUAAGGGUACAUUGGUUAGAUACCUAGGUUGACUGUUCUAGCAUGUUUUGAAUGUAUUUGAUCUGAAAAGUUUGGUAAUGCUCCGUAACCCUGUUUCGGAGAUGGAUAAGGGUUAGGAGUGUUACAUUUAUAUGAAAAGAAGAAAGUCUAAUCUGAUUCGGCAGUUUCAACUGCAAUACAUCUGUAUAGCAAUUUACCGCACAGUACGAUACUUCUGCCAGCUCAGCUGCAUACUGUUAUUUAUGUGGCUUUGUUCUACAUGCAUGGUGUGUAGGGUUGGAUGGGCCUUUCAAGGUCCUAUGUGGUGUGCAGGGCUGGUUUUGUUUCUUAAAGCUCAUUUGUGGUGUGAAUGGGAGAUGAAGAGGUGUUUGGCUGGAUGGGUGGGUUUCAUGUAGAUGCAUUUGUUCCGCAUUUUGUCUGUCUGACUACGAGAUUAACUGUAACAGCUCAUUUUAGUGAAAUUGAAAUAGUGGUUUCAGGACUACAAAUUCGAUCCAGAAAGAAAAUUUAUUUUAAUAUUAUUGCAUGGUCUGCAUUAUGAUUGGAAUAUCAUUGAAAUUUUCGAUAAGAAAAUUUUACUAAUUAUGUGUUUAAUUAGGGAAAUGACCAAAUUACAUAAAAUGAAAAAGUUGAAUUCUAGUAGCUAUAAGUAUCAAAUAGCUAUGGAAUUCAAAACUUGAGGUCCUUAUAUAGUAAUUAGACCGUUACAGAAAAGUUAGUAGAUAUUUUUGAUGAAUCAUCCAUGCAAAAUUAGAAAAAGGCAAGGACUAAAUUGAAAAGCAGAAAAUUCAAUAGAAAUAUUAACAUUUUAUAUCAUCUUCAUCCCCAAAAAUUUCAUGGAAACCCUAAAAGAGAGGAAACUAAUCAAGCUUAAUUAGGUAUGUUUUCUUGUCCCGUUUUUAGUAAUUUUCAUAUUUUUGAGAUCAGGAUAGCUUAAUCUAUCUAUUUUGGGGAUUAAUUUGAAAAGAUAUCAAAGUAUCAAAGUUUUUCCAUGGAUGAAUAUGCUAAAAUUUUGAAAUUUAUGGUAGAAAAUGAAAGCUUGUUGAUACAUAAAUGAUAAUUCGUAAUUUAUACAUAUUUUUAUCCCAUGCUAAGCACAUUUUUCUCCUUAGAUUUGGUGAAUUCGAUGCUCCUAAUCCUUUAAUUUCAUGUUUUAUACUUAGGUGAGUAUAGGAGAGUAAAAAGAGCGAGAAACGGGCCAAAAACGGAGAAAAUGGAUCGACGUGGGAAAUCAACAUAGCCUAAGCCAUCUUACAUGGACGUGUCACACGAGCGUGUCCCUAUCGAGCCCAAGUCUAGUCCUCUUCGGAAAAGGUCACUCUUAAGAGUUUUGAAGCAUUCUAAAGCCUAUAUAAACACCCCAGGAGGUACCUAAAGGUGACACACGGAGUAGGAGGCAAGGAAUUACUUGAGGAAAGCCGAUUGAUCUAUCUCAGAAGCCGGAUUCACCUUCAAGACUAAAGAUCUUCCUUCAAUUCCCUUCAAGAGUUCUUGGGUUUUCUUUAUGUUUUGUUAUCAUUAUUCUUUUGAUAUGAUUUCUUUCACAAAUAUGAACUAAACCCCUUAAAUACCUAAGGGAAAUGAAACCUAAGACGGAUCUUGUUAUUAUUGUCUGCAUUGUAUGAUAAAUAUUUGACUUGUUUUUAAUUAUGAGUUCUUAAUUCUUCCUUUAAUAUUCUAGGAUAUUGAUUCAAGUAUUGAUGUGCUUAUUCAGAGGAGCAAAAGUCCCUGUCUAAGAGUAGAUCUAACAUAAUUAAGCGGAGUUGAUUGCACGCCUAGAGAUAGGGUGACAUAAUUUUGCUAGAUUAGGGUGAAACCUAAUAAGGGAAUCCAUAGAUCGAGUUAAUGCAACACUAGGGGUUUUAAUUAGAAAGAGAUUUCAAUUAAUCAACCUAGGGUUAGAUGUUGUUAGUCUCGAGAGAGAUAAUAAUAUAACUUAGGAAUUUCUACGGAUCAAGUCAAGUGAAUAAAUCGUCUAAUUCAGAGUCAAUAACAAGUGAAGUCUAGGUGGAUUUUUCCCUUAGGUAUUGUCCAAAUCAUUCAAUUUUCCCAAAAGUUAUUUCCCCAAUUUACUUCCUAUGUAUUCUUAGUUUAGUAAUUAGUUUAGAUAAAAUAAACCCCUUUUAUUUUUAGGCUAGAUAAUAAAAAGAAAGUUAAUACUAGUAGUUUUAGUUCCUUUGGGUUCGACAUCUUGGUCUUGCCAUAAGCUAUACUACUGUUCGAUAAGGUGCACUUGCCUUUGGCGUGAUAAUAGUUAGUUUUUGAGAAUGAACAUUUAUAAAUUAUAAAACUUAUCAUGAUUCAUAUCACAUCAAUAAACAACUUUUACAAAGUGAAUUUUGAUGAAAAUAUGAUUUAUAGAUUAAAUUAUGAAGAUGUAAAAGUUAUGGAAAAAUUCUAAAUUUUGUGAAAUAUAUGGCUAUAAAAGUUUUAUGAAAAUUUCGGUUAGGCUCAAAAUAAGGAUUAAAUUGCAUGAAUUUUAAUUUCCGAGCCUAGAGACGAAAUCGCCAUUUGUGAAAAGUAUAUGGGCAAAAUAGUAUAGGGCUAUUUGUGAGAAGAUGCCCUCACCAUGGGUUACCUUUAUGGUUGCAGGUUCAAAUGUUUUACAAUGGCGUGAACCCUUCAACAAGAGAACUUAUCGACGCAGCUGCUGGCGAGACUAUCAAUAACAAAACACUUGAAGUGGCUUACGAAUUUAUUGAAGAGAUGUCACUGAAUAACUAUCAGUGGCAAGUCAUGAGAACAAAGCCGACGAAAGCAGCCGGUGUUUUCAACCUCGAUGUAGUUACUAUGCUAUCUAUCUAGGUAGAACUCUUAAAUAAAAAGAUCGACGGUUUGUGUGGUUCUACUCAGGUACAUCCAGUGAUAAGGUGCUAUUCAAAUGGAGGAGGAGCAUACACAGAAUAUCUACCCUUCAACCCUAGUACCGAGGAGGAAAAAGUUCAAUAUAUGGGUAAUAAUAAUUCUAGAUCUCAAAAUAACCCAUAUAGUAACACAUAUAAUGCAGGUUGGAGGAACCAUCCCAACUUCUCGUGGGGUGGUCAAGGGAAUCAAAGGCCAUAACAUCCUCUGGGUUUUCAACAACCACCUUACCAACAGGAAAAGAAGCCGAGCCUUGAGGAGAUUCUAAAAAAGUUUAUCUCGGUGUUGAAAACUCACUUUCAGAAUACCAAAACAACACUUAAGAAUCAACAAGCGUUGAUCCAAGGGCUCGAAACUCAGAUAGGCCAACUCGCCAAAUUGAUUUCUAAACGACCACAACGUAGCUUGACGAGUAACACUGAAUCUAACCCAAGGAAACAGCUCAAUGCAAUUACCAUUCAAGAUGAGGAGGGGUUAGUCAAACCUGAACCAGAACCGAGGCAAGGAAUUGUGGUAAGCAAAAGAAAAGGUGAGGUAGACCACAGUGAACAAACACUGGUAAGUAAAGAGUACAAACCUCAUGUGCCAUACCCUAAUAUGACAAGGAAAGACCACAUAGACGAACAAUUCAGUAAAUUCCUUAAAUUAUUAAAAAAAUUAUAUAUUAACUUAUCGUUUAUUGAAGCUUUUUCGUAGAUGCCAAACGCAAUCUAAUUCUUAAAAGAGCUUUUAACAAACAAGUGGAAGUUGGAUGAGGAGUCGCAUGUGGAGUUAAAUAAAGUUUGCUCAGCCAUACUACGGAAUAAGCUGGCUAACAAAUUAAAAGAUCCAGGGAGUUUUACGAUUCCUUAUUUAAUUGGUAGCUUAGAUGUUAAUAAUGCUUUGGCUAAUUUAGGGGUUAGUAUCAAUGUCAUGCCUUAUAAAAUGUUUAAACAACUAGGUCUUGGGAAACCCAAACAAAUUAGGACGAAUGUUCAGUUAGCAGACAAAACAAUCAGAUUUCCUAGGGGUAUUAUUGAAGAUGUACUCGUUAAAAUUGAUGAAUUCAUAUUUCCAGUUGAUUUUGUUGUUCUAGACAUAGAAAAGGAUAUUGACGUGCCUUUAAUUUUAGGAAGGCCCUUUUUCGCAACUGCUAGAACUAUAAUUGAUGUUGGUACAGGUGAACUCACACUUCGUGUGGGUGAGAAAACAAUCACUCUUCAGGCUCGUAAUUCAUGUAACACAUCAAAUAUCGAGGGUGAUUGUAUAAAUUGUACUACUAAUACUGAUCAUGUCGUGAAACCUUCUUUGCAGGAAACAAGUUCAAAGAACACACUUGAGCCAUGUUCGAGUAACGACAAAGGACCCAUCUAUGAAGAACGAAGGCUACAGGUCGAGGAACUAGAUGAGUGGCAGACAUAGAAACUGAGAUCACACGAUAAACAGAAACCACGCCAUGACGAGCUCAAUAUUUCACCAAAUCAACUUAAGGUUAGAGACAAAGUACUAUUAGAUGCAGCAGACCCUCAGAUUGCCACCUUUGAACCUAAUGGAGAAAUCCCUCUUAUGGUACUUAACAUUUUCCCAUAUGGCACAGUCGAGGUAAUUCAUCCUAAAUUCGAUACGUUCAAGGUAAAUAGUACUCGUUUAAAACCUUAUUUUGAUAAAAUUGAUAGCAGGGAUGAGGAGUGUAAACUCCUCGCACCACCAUGACCAUGUAACAGAGAGAUAAGUCGAGCUUAGACUAUAAAUAAGCACUUCUCGGGAGGAAAGCCGAGCACUAACAGUUUUAACUUCUUUAAUUUUUAGUUUUUAACAUUUAAAUCCACUAACUGAGACACUGAACAUAGGUUUUUCAGAACCACACGACCAGGCCCAUAGGCGUGCCUUAGGCUGUGCCUAUACCACGGAAGGCAACACGGCCAUACGAUACAGCCGUUUGAAAAUAGGGAAAAAAAAUUUCCCAACACGGGAGUCGAUAAGUUGCCAUGGUCAUGCAAUAAGGCUGUGGGUGAAUCUGUCAAAACAACACGGGCGUAUGACACGCCCGUGUCUAGAGGCCAUGGUUGAAACUGAGAAAACAACAUGGGUGUGCGACACGCCCGUGCUCACUACCUGUGGUCAAGACUGACAAAACAACAUGGGUGUGGACAUACAUACUCGGGUAUAGGACAAGCAAACGAAGCAAGACACGGUCGUGCGGCACGGCCGUGUGCACCAACACACUCAACGAACACGGGCGUGGGCCAAAUUUCAGACACGCCUAAAUUUGAAAAUCAUGUAACACACGGGCUAAAAUAAAGGCACACGGACAUGCCCCACGGCCGUGUGCCCCAUUAUCUAUAUAAACCCCUUACUAUUCAUCAUCUCCUUCCCCAAAAACUUUAAACCCUAGUCGCCGUAACCCCUCCCCCACCGCCGACUGGCCACCCUAGCUUUCCUUUCACCUUCAUUUUUCCCCCCUCUCUCUCUCCCUCCUCCCCUCUACUCACCCUUGCGCACCACACAGCACACUGCCCACGCCUGUGGCAGACCUCAACCGCUCCCCACCAUCACACCGUAGCUCCUCCGGCCACCACUCCUCCACUAACGGUUUUCUCUUCUCUAUUACUUCCUUUGGAUGCUUACUAACAUGAUAGUCCUAAUUUUUAUCCUUUUAUUGCUUUUGCUACUAAUUAUUUAUCAUAUUAUCCUUAUUUUUAGGAUUUAGUUCACCAUGCUUAGAUACUUUCAUUUAGUUCAUUUUGAAUUUAGUCCUGUUAUUACUCUACCAUGUACCAUAAAAUCUCUAUCAAGUUUGAUUACUUUUGGUUGAGUCUUGUUAGUGUUAGUAGUUUUUGAUUGCAUUUGUUAGUUCAAUUCAUGGUUUACUCCCUUUUGAAUUUGUUAAUAUAUGUUAUAUUUUACAUUCAUUAAGAUUUAAGUUCCUCUUGCAGGUAUAUCAUGUCGAAUCCACGCUAUCUCCGCCUCAAAAAACAAGAAAGGAGUAGCAUCAUCCUCUGGUCUUACAUCGGAGAUCAGGCACCCAUUCCUCCAAUUCCUACCAAGACCGUUGGAGGAACUAUUUCAGAUAUUACGGGCCCGACCCUUAGGUGUGGGCCGUUGCAUUGACUGGGCUGCACUUGAACAAAUCCAACUGGCUAACGCGGUCCGAGCCUUUCUGACAACUGACCCAUGGGGGCACUUUUUCGGGAUCAUCGAGCUGACAUACCUCGAUCUCACACUCGAACUCUGCUCGACCUUUGAUCACGUGAUUUGUAACAAGUAAUAAAUAUUUAUAAUGAAGAUCAAACCUAGACUAACUAUUAUUACGACAAAAAGGCAAGCGCAUCUAUCGAACAAUAGUAUAGUAAUGGCAAGACCGGGAUAUCGUACCCAAGGGAACCAAAAGUAAUAGUAAUAACUAUCUUUUUUGUAACGCCUCAAUUUUCGGGAAUUCUGUGAAUGUUGGCAUAGGUUUAAUUAUGUUAGUGGGCCUCUAGAAGGCCCAAGCUUAAGAUAGAACCCGGCAAUUUUGGUUAAUUUUUGUUCCAUAAGAAAAAAGGGGUGAAAUUAUGAAAUAGAACCUAUGUGAAAAUGUUUGAAAAUGAUAUAGGCUAAAUUGAAGUGGCCAAAUAAAUAGGAAUGCAAAAUAGGAGGAUUUGCAUGACAAACCUCCCAUUUUACAUGAAGUGGUCAGCCAUCAUGUUGUUGUAGACAAUAUGAGCACUUGAUAUCCAUAAUUUAUGGUACAAAUUGAUACAAAUUGAUAAUGGGUUAGGUAAAUGUUCCAUGAUAAUGGAUUAGGUAAAUAUUCCAUGAUAAUGGGUUAGGUAAAUGUUCCAUGAUAAUGGUUUAGGUAAAUGUUCCAUGAUGGGAAUUUCAUGUCUUUUGUAUUAAAGAAUUAAAUGGAUGAAAUCUAAAAUUUUAUUAAAAGAAAAAGGAGUGAAAAGAACAAAGUUUUGUCCAUCUUUGUUCAUCAUAGCCUAAAGUUAGAGAAGAGAAAGGAGAGGAGAAAGCUCUUGAAUGUUUGGUCACUUGGGGAAGAAAAUUGAAGGUAAGUUCAUGGUAGUUUGCUUCUAUCUUGAUGUUCAUGAGUUCUUCUUGAUUUUACCUUAACUCUUGAAGCAUAUUUUGGUUUUUAGUUGUGUUGUGAGCAUUUAGUCAUGAAUUAAAAUGAAGGAAAUGGUUGUUGUUUCAUGUUCUUUUGAUGAAAAAUGGAAGAUAGGUGAAGUUGAGCCAAACAAAUGAGCAUGCAUGUGCC
rnacentral:lncRNA from 1 species